rnacentral:rRNA from 1 species
UGGGGGAUAUUGCACAAUGGGGGGAACCCGUGAUGCAGCGACGCCGCGUGGGUGAGGAAGCGCCUCGGCGCGUAAAGCCCUGUCAGCAGGGAAGAAAAUGACGGUACCUGAAGAAGAAGCCCCGGCUAACUACGUGCC